CUGCCACCACUGGCCUCAUUAUAAACUCAACUCACCAAAUGGAAGUAUCACCUUGAGCAGGAAGUACAUGUCAUGUAGUACUACAUGUAGUAAUGUGGUGAUACCAGCUGAUGGCGCAACCAGACAGAGAGGAGCCAGCAGAGAGAGAGAGAGAGAGAGAGGGAGAGAGAGAGAGAGGAGGGAGAUUCUGUCCUCUCCAAUAACGCACCUUCAUCAUCCUCAUCCUGGCUCUCCGGCUAUGCACCUGCAACCUCCCCUUGCAGUCCCACCCCUCCUCCUCUUCAUCCUCCUCCUCCUCUUCCUCCUGUCCUCCUGUCCUCUUGUGCGCAAAGAUCGGCCGGCAUGCACCUGGAGAGAAACCGCCCUGCAGCCAAGCCGUCCAAGGGCGCAGCAGCAGCAUCAUCAGCAGCAGGAGGCGGACUGAUGCUCUAACAUCUGGAGGGUAUAGCAGCAGCAGAGCACCGGAGCUUGCAGCAUGGGCGUGGGAGACGAUGAGAGCCAUGUAAAUCCACGGACAUAGAGCAGGGUGGGUGGGGGGAACCCGAGUAGCGUUUGGAUCAGAGUUGUCCAGGGUGUAUUUUUGGUGUCUUGGUGUCUAGUUCUCUGAAAAUUCACCAAACACAGUACUUUUUUUUUUUAUUGCUGCCAGCCUCCUUCUGUAUAGUUUGAAAGGAUGGAGAAAGGCGCGCAGCAUCAGCACCACCAGCAGCAGCAGAUGUCCAAGAGCGCAGCAGAGAGUCCUGUGAAGGAGGAGGACAUCUCCAAGAUGAGCGACGAGGAGCUGCUGAAGUGGGGCAAAGAGGAGCUGGUGCGGAGGCUGAGGAGAGCAGAGGCCGGCAAGAGGAGCGCCAUCGUGGAGCACAGCAACCUGAUGAGGGAGGUGAACAGGAGACUCCAGCAGCACCUCAACGAGAUCAGGAGCUUAAAGGACGUGAACCAGAAACUGCAGGAGGACAACCAGGAGCUGCGGGACCUGUGCUGCUUCCUGGACGACGACCGGCAGAAGGGGAAGCGGGUGUCGCGGGAGUGGCAGCGUCUGGGCCGCUACAGCGCCGGCCUCAUGAGGAAGGAGGUGGCCAUCUACCUGCAGAAGCUGAAGGAGCUGGAGCAGCGGCAGGUGGAGGUCAUCCGGGAGAACCUGGAGCUGAAGGAGGUGUGCGUCAUGCUGGAGGAGGAGCGGGCUGCGGCGGGAGGAGGUGGAGGUGGAGGCGUGGGUGUGCACGGAGGCCCCGGGCGGAGGAGCUCUGUUGACAGUCAGAGCAGCUUGUCUCAGCUGGGCGGCGGUGUCCCGGCGCCUGGCCUGCUGCGGGACGUCGGCGAUGGGAGCAGCACCUCCAGCGCGGGGAGUACGGAUAGCCCAGAUAACCUCCACCUCAAACCCCCUCCUCUGGGCUCCAGCCCUGGAUCCAGAACCUCAGAGCACCCCCACAAACCAGGAGAUGUGUGUGAAUCCACAGGACGGAGGCACAGCUCCACGCCAGAGUACCACACCUUCCCCCAGUCCUGCCGCCCCCGCGGGGGCUCCCUCACCAACCUGGACCCUCCCGGCCUUCGGGGACACAGCCCGGAGAAACAUGGCAAGUCUCCCACCAGGCUGCCGUGUGACUCCCACCCCAAACCCUGCAGCUCUGACCUACUGGCCCACAAACAGCUACUGAUGUCGGGGCCGGCGUCACCAGGCUGCAGGAAGAACACUGCCAAGUCCAGCCCGGAGCUGAGUCAGAGACACCGGUCGGUUAACAUGGCGGGGGCUGUCUGCGGGAGUCCCGAGGCCAAGCUGGCGGCGAUGGGGACGCCCGAGCACCUGAGGAAAGGGCGGGUGAUCGUGGGGAGUCCAGAGUCUAUACGGCACCACCACCACUAUCAUCAGCACAGCCCCGGGAUGGAGCUCAAGGGGAGGUAUAGCAGCGGAUCCUCCCCCAACAGGGACGGGGGUCAGAGGAGGAUGGCCGGAGACGAGCUGUCCCCCCACCACCAGAGUCUGUACAACGGUAGGCAGAGGCUCUGAUAUCUGCUGGUUGCUGCACCAACUCCUGUAGGAGUGUAAAGCUUUGGGACAGCUUUGAUGCCUCCUGACCAUGACAUGCCCCUUGAUCAGAUGCUGCUGUGACAACACACACACCCCAGAGACAGAAGAAGAGGGUUAUUAGCAGGAUGGAUGGAUGGAUGGAUGGAUGGACGAGUGGAUCUCGGGAUGGAGAAAUGAUCAUGAAAUUCAAAAUCAAGCAGUAAGGGCGAAGGAGCAGAUGAGCGAAACAAGGCGACAAAACACUGUAAACACUUGAAAACCUCUCUCCGCCCUGUCUGCUGCUGCUGCUGCUGCUGCUAUGCAUUUCCCGUGGACCACCAGAAAAGACUGAUCGAUCGGACGGACGGGCAGAGGCUCAUCCCUGCGUUGCCAAAAUGAAGAGAGGAAAAAUAAAUAAGACAGCUGAGAAUCUUUGUGUUGCCAACAAAAUAGUCCUACCUCUUUGGAAAGCCAGAGGCCGUCUGGAUGAAAGCACCCGUACACAGAAGAGUAACACUGGAGGUUACAGCCCCUUUCUCUUCACAGUCACGUGCCAGUGAUUAUUUUAAAACUUAAUGCCCAACAUGGUAACUUCUUUUACAAAGUCAUUGUGGACCAGGAAUUAAAGCACAAGAAGUUACCGAGUCUUUUUUUAACUAAAAGAGGAGUUAUUCAAAAGAUAAUUCUGUUUUUAUUACAACCUUGGUCUUGUUUUCGUAGCCUAGCAUUGUACUCAUUAAAGUCAUUGCUGAGAUCUAGGAACACUCGCUAAAAACAGUCCAACAGGGCAAGAAACACAAGAGGUAAGACUAUCAGACAGGUCACAAACAAGACAGUUUUGGAGGUUAUACUGAAUGUGAGUGCACCACAAAUGACGAUACAUCAGACCGGUCAGCCAGCGUAGGAUAGCAUGACCACGCCCCCUUUUGGGGGGAAAACAAUCCUGUGUCCCUCGUAGAUGGUAACAGCGUAAACAGAAGAAGUUGAAACACGUCUCCAAACUUCUACUUUAAAAAAAACGGUAACAGUAAUAACGCUAUGCCGAGGAGUUACUGUGUAGUUGGUUGCACCAACAAUAAAUCAAAAAACGCUGA